rnacentral:lncRNA from 1 species
UUGCUUUCGUUGCUCAACUCAUCUCUCAAUACAAUAUCACCAACACAGUUAAUUCCCAACUGAGUCACCCGACUUUAUUUAAGUCGAUUAGUUGUAGGAGCCACCUUAAAAGUAUCAAACUUCGAGAUUUAUCUAGCAUCAGAAGACCCUCGAUUAACCUCAAUAUGAAUGCUCAUGCGAAUUAUUGUCUUUCAACCGCACUAGAGGAGUUGUCGAGAUAUGAUAAAUUAUCUUUUAAUCAUUUCAUUUCUGUUCGACUACCACUAAACUUGUACGACACCUUGCCUAAUAGUUG